AGCUCAGUGGUAGAGCUAUCGGCUGUUAACCGAUCGGUCGUAGGUUCGAGUCCUACC
rnacentral:tRNA from 1 species